GUGGGAAGGGAGGGAGGUGAAGAUGUAUUUGUGUUACAGACAAAAGACAAGUUCUGUUCCUCAGCAGGGACAAAUGAAGAACCAGAUGAGGGGAUAAACUGAGGUGGUGGAAGGGAAUAUAGACAGAAUCAAAUAGGCCUUCCAGAAGAGACUGAAUGGAAACCAACCCACCAUCAUUUAGCCACAGUGAAAUCUGUAUGCUAGGAGACACUGAUGCUCUCCUGUGCCUGGAACUGACUCUUUGUCCCAGCUGCUUCUCUGAUAGCUCAACAGAUUUCAGUGACAUCCUCAAAAAACAAGGAAAGUCCAGUAUCUCUCUCACUCUGAUGUGGUUCAUCCCCAAGCAAUGGUGAGCAAAAACGUGUAAUUACAUGAAAAGUUCAUGAAACUAA